rnacentral:lncRNA from 1 species
UGAAUCAAAGAGACAACAACCCGACCAUAGAAAAAACAACAGCAGAAGGUCACCAACAGGUCUUCAAUGUAACGAGAAAUUCCCGCACCCGGAGGCGUCCUUCAGCUGGCCCCUUAACAAUAUAUACUGGUUCAGUGAUAAUGAACGCCAUACUAAUUUCCAAAUUGUACACAAGAAACUCAAAUUAAAAUAAUACAAGACUAACAAAGACCAGAGGCUUCUGACUUGGGACAGGCGCAAAAAUGGGGCGGGGUUAAACAUGUUUAUGAGAUCUCAACCCUCCCCCUAUACCCCCAGCCAAUGUAGAAAAGUAAACGCAUAACAAUACGUACAUU